GGAAUGAUCUUUAUUCUCUCUGAAGGUGUGUGCGAAUUUUCUGGGUAGUACAUGCCAUUUUUAUGUUGAAAGUGAGGUGAUUGUUUCCCCGUGUACUCACAUUCUUUCAAGGGAUAAGUUAGUCAAAGACAUUUUCAUUCUGCAUUAGAAGUUUGCAAUUGCUGAAAAGAUGCAUGCUAUAGAAUUUUAUGCAUAACACUAGUAAUCUGUUGAUUUCUCACAUGCGUUAUCUGAUCUUAUAUAUUUCCUUUAUUGUCAGGUUAAGCAUAUAGCUGAGAGCUGAGAGACUACUUGGCAGCAGGAGGAGAGUCUUCUCUUUGGAUGACUUACUAUUUCCAGUCCUUACAGGUUGCUUUUCUUGAUUUCACUCUGCCUUGCUAUUUACUUUUGAGGGCCUGCUUUUAUUUUGGUAUCACCAAUUAGAAAUUGUGGUCAUUUUUCCUCCUAUUGUCUCACUCUGUUUCUCUUAAGAUUUCAAGGAGAUGGGUCUAUCCAUCAGGCUAGUAGUAUACCCUCGGUUUGAGGUUGGUGAAAUUUGAUCGUAUACAGCUCUGCAGAAACAUAUAACUUAUCAUAUUGAACAUCUUGGAAUGGAGUACUGGUACCGGUAGUAUGUGUACUACUGGCAGUGGAUACAGAUGAAAAUAUCAGCUAUGCUGUUCAGUGCAGAAUGAUGUUGAAAUGAGGAAGAGGUUCUUGAUCGGAUUGCUAACGUCCAGUCAAAAUCUCUUGUUUUCCUCAUGUUCAAUGCGGUAGAUAAAGAUGGAAAUAUAAGUCUUCUGAUGUUCAGGUCAGGCAGCAAUACAAAGAGGAAGCCUGAAAUUCUUUAGGCCAGUGAUCAUUGUUAUUUUACUGGCCAAUUGUAGUGGACUUUAUAGUCUUUUAAUUAGCCAAAUAUGUUUGUGCUGAUUCUCUUUGCCGAAGUAACUAUUUCCUCUUCCGUUAUUUAGUUCAAUGUCAGAUUUCAAUGUGCUAGUAUGGAAGUCAUAUACAUAACAGCUUUUACAUAAUUCCCUUGGCAUGUAGUAACUUGUUGAUGCAUGAUUGUGAUUUCUGUGCUUAUUUGUGCCCUAGAGAGCACUGCAGUUCAUAACGUCACCUCCUACAUCUGUUGUCUGCCUCUAUCUACUGAGAAGUGCACACAAGAUCUUCUAUGUGCAUUUAGUUCCUGUUUACUGUCACAGCGCACAAGCACUUGCUUGCCAGUAAGAUUUCUGUUACAAGAUAAUUGAUGAUUUGCAGCUAUUGAUUCAUCAUUGCAGUUGCCUCUACCGAUUUCAUGCGUACACUAAUCAUAUGAUUAUGGUAAUCAAUGUUGAAGGUUGCAGCUGAGAAGAAACCGUUCCUUACGAGGCUUAAACGUGGUCGCUGAAGUUGAAAUGACAGUGCUUCUUGUUAAGUAGUCUGCCCAGUGGCCUUAUGU